UGUCAUACGAAUUUAAUAUACAAUAGAAAAUGGCACGUUCGGUUGCUGAUGAAGAUCGUGAACUCAUUGCUUUCGUCAAGUCCCGGAUUCCGGGAAUGUUUUAUGUAAAUACUGAAUACGAAGAAAUGAUGGAAAGAAAAGUACGCGAAAUCCACAAUGAAUUAAGAAGAAAUAAACUCGAUACUGCAGCAAUCUUUGAUAAAAA